rnacentral:tRNA from 1 species
UGCGGGGUGGAGCAGUGGCAGCUCGUUGGGCUCAUAACCCAAAGGUCGCAGGUUCGAGUCCUGUCCCCGCUACUA